GCCUGUCUAGCUCAGUCGGUAGAGCAUGAGACUCUUGGUCUCGGGGUCAUAAGUUCGAGCCCCACGUUGGGCG
rnacentral:tRNA from 1 species